rnacentral:rRNA from 1 species
AGUGAACGCUGGCGGUAGGCCUAACACAUGCAAGUCGAACGGCAGCACAGGAGAGCUUGCUCUCUGGGUGGCGAGUGGCGGACGGGUGAGGAAUACAUCGGAAUCUACUCUGUCGUGGGGGAUAGCGUAGGGAAACUUACGCUAAUACCGCAUACGACCUACGGGUGAAAGCAGGGGAUCUUCGGACCUUGCGCGAUUGAAUGAGCCGAUGUCGGAUUAGCUAGUUGGCGGGGUAAAGGCCCACCAAGGCGACGAUCCGUAGCUGGUCUGAGAGGAUGAUCAGCCACACUGGAACUGAGACACGGUCCAGACUCCUACGGGAGGCAGCAGUGGGGAAUAUUGGACAAUGGGCGCAAGCCUGAUCCAGCCAUACCGCAUGGGUGAGGAAGGCCUUCGGGUUGUAAAGCCCUUUUGUUGGGAAAGAAAUCCAGCUGGCUAAUACCCGGUUGGGAUGACGGUACCCAAAGAAUAAGCACCGGCUAACUUCGUGCCAGCCGCCGCAGUAA